rnacentral:lncRNA from 1 species
GGGUUUGCACCAAUUCUGCUCUCCUUAGCUUCCUUGGUAGCAACGUUCACUUACUCGACCUUGUCCUCUGACUUGUCGGGCUCCCUUAAGCGAAUAUGAGCUCUGGAGCAGUCCAACUCUCCAGCUGCUUCGAUCAUACCUCUGCAUGAUCAAGUCCCUCCCAUGGGACUCAUUGGUACUUGCAUUCGAACUUUUCCCUUGGUGGAACACAGCCCCCAUAUGCUAAUGACCAAGGUUUUCAUCCGAUGCAAAAUUCGAUGCAAGCACGGAAGACCCGCCUCUGCGGUACCAUGGCCUUCACUCCUUGAAUCCAUAGCCCUUCUUGUCGUCAUGUUGUUCACCGAAGUGGAGCUUCCAGUAGCUCCCGAUCAUACCUCCAUAUGAUCUAAUCUCUCACGGGACUAUGUCGUGUGUAUUGCAUUGCCACGAACUGUUCCACCACGAUCCGCUGCACCCUGUCGCCUCCUGGUGACAUCUUCAUCGCAUUCUGAUCCUUGUGGAAUAAACUUGAAUUGUGAACCCUCCAUGUGUGGCCUCUACCAAUACAUCGCAGGGUCUCUUCCACCUUCGAUUUUGUUCGCUCCUUUGGCAAUCGACCUUCAUCCACCCACUCUUGGUUCACACCUAGAUGAAGCACCGCUCUAGGACAGUCCAUCGCCUAGUAGCUCCCGAAGUCCACCGACUUCGCUGUAAUUUGUGCACCAUUGCCUGGAUCCUGGGCCUCUGCCCCUACCAGCACAAUCUCUGCUGCGCACUGCUUCCUUCAUGGCAACUUGAAUGGCAACACUGUGGCAUAUUCUUCAAGAGUACCCGCCUCUACGUCCUCUUGCCCCGUGCUAAGGCCUUCUGAACCCAACUUCGCCUCCGCAAAUUGAGUCGCCUUAGUUCCUCCAUCAAAUGCUCCUCCGAGAUAAGGUGCAUGUGCCCAGAAGCUCCCUUCGUCUUUGGCACCAUGCAAGAUGAGUCCACUCCAUCAGAAUGAAGGACCUAUCGAACAACAUGAUUCUACUCUUGCCUCUGCAAGAGUUCAUGUCCUUGACCUCUGUCUAAGGAAAGCACUGUGCCUCUGCUCCA